rnacentral:rRNA from 1 species
CCUACGGGAGGCAGCAGUGAGGAAUAUUGGUCAAUGGACGCAAGUCUGAACCAGCCAUGCCGCGUGCAGGAAGACGGCUCUAUGAGUUGUAAACUGCUUUUGUAAGAGGGUAAACGCAGAUACGCGUAUCUGUCUGAAAGUAUCGUACGAAUAAGGAUCGGCUAACUCCGUGCCAGCAGCCGCGGUAAUACGGAGGAUUCAAGCGUUAUCCGGAUUUAUUGGGUUUAAAGGGUGCGUAGGUGGUCGGAUAAGUCAGAGGUGAAAGCUCGAGGCUCAACUUCGUAAUUGCCUUUGAUACUGUUCGUCUAGAGAGUAGUUGCGGUAGGCGGAAUGUAUGGUGUAGCGGUGAAAUGCUUAGAGAUCACACAGAACACCGAUUGCGAAGGCAGCUUACCAAGCUGCUUCUGACGUUGAGGCACGAAAGCGUGGGGAGCAAACAGGAGUAGAUACCCUGGUAGUC